UUGACCUCAAAUCAGGCAGGAUUACCCGCUGAACUUAA
rnacentral:rRNA from 1 species